rnacentral:rRNA from 1 species
GACGAACGCUGGCGGCGUGCCUAAUACAUGCAAGUAGAACGCUGAAGGAGGAGCUUGCUCCUCUGGAUGAGUUGCGAACGGGUGAGUAACGCGUAGGUAACCUGCCUGGUAGCGGGGGAUAACUAUUGGAAACGAUAGCUAAUACCGCAUAAGAGUAGAUGUCGCAUGACAUUUGCUUAAAAGGUGCAAUUGCAUCACUACCAGAUGGACCUGCGUUGUAUUAGCUAGUUGGUGAGGUAACGGCUCACCAAGGCAACGAUACAUAGCCGACCUGAGAGGGUGAUCGGCCACACUGGGACUGAGACACGGCCCAGACUCCUACGGGAGGCAGCAGUAGGGAAUCUUCGGCAAUGGACGGAAGUCUGACCGAGCAACGCCGCGUGAGUGAAGAAGGUUUUCGGAUCGUAAAGCUCUGUUGUAAGAGAAGAACGAGUGUGAGAGUGGAAAGUUCACACUGUGACGGUAUCUUACCAGAAAGGGACGGCUAACUACGUG